GAGUUUGAUCCUGGCUCAGGAUGAACGCUGGCGGCGUGCUUAACACAUGCAAGUCGAACGAAGCGCCUUAUUUGAUUUUUCUUCGGAACUGAAGAUUUGGUGACUGAGUGGCGGACGGGUGAGUAACGCGUGGGUAACCUGCCCUGUACAGGGGGAUAACAAUCAGAAAUGACUGCUAAUACCGCAUAAGACCACAGCACCGCAUGGUGCAGGGGUAAAAACUCCGGUGGUACAGGAUGGACCCGCGUCUGAUUAGCUGGUUGGUGAGGUAACGGCUCACCAAGGCGACGAUCAGUAGCCGGCUUGAGAGAGUGAACGGCCACAUUGGGACUGAGACACGGCCCAAACUCCUACGGGAGGCAGCAGUGGGGAAUAUUGCACAAAUGGGGGAAACCCUGAUGCAGCAACGCCGCGUGAGUGAAGAGUAUUUCGGUAUGUAAAGCUCUAUCAGCAGGGAAGAAAGUGACGGUACCUGACUAAGAAGCCCCGGCUAACUACGUGCCAGCAGCCGCGUAAG
rnacentral:rRNA from 1 species